rnacentral:tRNA from 2 species
ACGGGUAUAGUUCAGUUGGUAGAACGACGGUCUCCAAAACCGUAUGUCGAGGGUUCAAGUCCUUCUGCCCGUGCCA